CUGUGAAAAAAUUGUCAAGCAAUGGAUUUGAUUUUUGUCAAAUGGAUCUAGACGAAUUAUAUUUUAAAUGGAUUAAUGUAUUUAUCGUUGGAUUCAUCAAUUUUCCCACCGCUACGUGAGGGUAAGGUAAUCAAGUGGCCCUAUUCUCUUUAGGUGAACAUAGCCAUUCAGAUGCGUUGGACUCCGCUUUGUUGAGUGGUAUACGAGUGACGAAUAACUAGGACUAGGAAAGAGCCCACAAAUAGAACAUUCUGAAGAAUCCAUUCUUGGUAUAUGAAACUGCCUUUGGCAAGGCUGUUUAGAAUCCUAGAUACCCUAAUUAUGCCAGAUGUAGUAACAGUUGUGAAAACUAACCACAGUUGCAAUUAACUGGACUAACCAAGAGGCAGCUUCAGUCUGAUAACAGAGAAAGAGAGCUACCUCGUAGAACAGUGUGAUACUUUCAUUAUUUUGGAGGGGUAGAUUUGGAAGAUCCAAAAAGGUUCCGCAUAGAGUUGACUUUUAGCCGUGGUGCUGAUUUAUCCCCCUUGGAG